rnacentral:rRNA from 1 species
UGGGGAAUUUUGGACAAUGGGGGAAACCCUGAUCCAGCCAUCCCGCGUGUGCGAUGAAGGCCUUCGGGUUGUAAAGCACUUUUGGCAGGAAAGAAACGUCGCGGGUUAAUACCCCGCGAAACUGACGGUACCUGCAGAAUAAGCACCGGCUAACUACGUGCCAGCAGCCGCGGUAAUACGUAGGGUGCAAGCGUUAAUCGGAAUUACUGGGCGUAAAGCGUGCGCAGGCGGUUCGGAAAGAAAGAUGUGAAAUCCCAGAGCUUAACUUUGGAACUGCAUUUUUAACUACCGGGCUAGAGUGUGUCAGAGGGAGGUGGAAUUCCGCGUGUAGCAGUGAAAUGCGUAGAUAUGCGGAGGAACACCGAUGGCGAAGGCAGCCUCCUGGGAUAACACUGACGCUCAUGCACGAAAGCGUGGGGAGCAAACAGGAUUAGAUACCCUGGUAGUCCACGCCCUAAACGAUGUCAACUAGCUGUUGGGGCCUUCGGGCCUUGGUAGCGCAGCUAACGCGUGAAGUUGACCGCCUGGGGAGUACGGUCGCAAGAUUAAAACUCAAAUGAAUUGACGGGGUCG